rfam:Pseudoalteromonas tunicata D2 1099591001424, whole genome shotgun sequence.
CGUUUUGGCUGAAUUAGUGAUCGGCUAAAGCAUCUUUUAAAUUUAUUUUUGGAGUCAUUAUGUCACUAAGUACUCAACAAAAAGCUGAAAUUCUAGCUAAAUUCGCACGCGCUGAA